UACGUAGGGUGCAAGCGUUGUCCGGAAUUAUUGGGCGUAAAGAGCUCGUAGGCGGUUUGUUGCGUCGGCUGUGAAAUCCCGAGGCUCAACCUCGGGUCUGCAGUCGAUACGAGCAAACUAGAGUGUUGCAGGGGAGACUGGAAUUCCUGGUGUAGCGGUGAAAUGCGCAGAUAUCAGGAGGAACACCGGUGGCGAAGGCGGGUCUCUGGACAGUUCCUGACACUGAGGCACGAAGGCCAGGGGAGCAAACGGG
rnacentral:rRNA from 1 species